GAUCAUGGCUCAGAUUGAACGCUGGCGGCAUGCUUUACACAUGCAAGUCGAACGGCAGCAUGGGGGGCAACCCUGAUUGCGAGUGGCGAACGGGUGAGUAAUAUAUCGGAACGUACCCGAGAGUGGGGGACAACCAGUCGAAAGAUUGGCUAAUACCGCAUACGAUCUACGGAUGAAAGUGGGGGGACCUUCGGGCCUCACGCUCCUGGAGCGGGCCGAUAGCUGAUUAGCUAGUUGGG
rnacentral:rRNA from 1 species